rnacentral:rRNA from 1 species
AGUGAACGCUGGCGGUAGGCCUAACACAUGCAAGUCGAACGGCAGCACAGUAAGAGCUUGCUCUUACGGGUGGCGAGUGGCGGACGGGUGAGGAAUACAUCGGAAUCUACUUUUUCGUGGGGGAUAACGUAGGGAAACUUACGCUAAUACCGCAUACGACCUACGGGUGAAAGCAGGAGAUCUUCGGACCUUGCGCGAUUGAAUGAGCCGAUGUCGGAUUAGCUAGUUGGCGGGGUAAAGGCCCACCAAGGCGACGAUCCGUAGCUGGUCUGAGAGGAUGAUCAGCCACACUGGAACUGAGACACGGUCCAGACUCCUACGGGAGGCAGCAGUGGGGAAUAUUGGACAAUGGGCGCAAGCCUGAUCCAGCCAUACCGCGUGGGUGAAGAAGGCCUUCGGGUUGUAAAGCCCUUUUGUUGGGAAAGAAAAGCAGCAGGUUAAUACCCCGCUGUUCUGACGGUACCCAAAGAAUAAGCACCGGCUAACUUCGUG